rnacentral:misc_RNA from 1 species
AUGAUUGCGAAUGGUCACCUUCAGUGCUGGCUCUUAAGAGCAAGUGCACGUUGGUGGCUUUCAUCCAAUUCCACACCCUGUGAACCUUUGGCCUCUUGCUAGCUUCGGCUGGCAGAGGAUUUUACACACACUCGAAUGUAAUGAAAAACUAUUGUUGUGCGCAAGCACUAAUAUA